rnacentral:rRNA from 1 species
CUAUACAGGAGGAUAACCCGUCGAAAGACGGACUAAUACUGCGUAUGCUCACAGCUUGGCAUCAAGUGGUGAGGAAAGAAAUUCGGUAUAGGAUAGGCAUGCGUCCCAUUAGCUUGUUGGUGAGGUAACGGCUCACCAAGGCGACGAUGGGUAGGGGAACUGAGAGGUUUAUCCCCCACACUGGUACUGAGACACGGACCAGACUCCUACGGGAGGCAGCAGUGAGGAAUAUUGGUCAAUGGGCGAGAGCCUGAACCAGCCAAGUCGCGUGAAGGAUGACUGUCUUAUGGAUUGUAGACUUCUUUUAUACGGGAAUAACAAGAGUCACGUGUGACUCCCUGCAUGUACCGUAUGAAUAAGCAUCGGCUAACUCCGUGCCAGCAGCCGCGGUAAUACGGAGGAUGCGAGCGUUAUCCGGAUUUAUUGGGUUUAAAGGGUGCGUAGGCGGUUUGUUAAGUCAGCGGUGAAAUCUAGAGGCUCAACCUCGAAACUGCCGUUGAAACUGGCGAACUUGAGUGUAGAUGAGGUAGGCGGAAUUCGUGGUGUAGCGGUGAAAUGCAUAGAUAUCACGAGGAACUCCCGAUUGCGAAGGCAGCUUACUAAGGUACAACUGACGCUGAAGCACGAAAGCGUGGGUAUCAAACAGGAUUAGAUACCCUGGUAGUCCACGCAGUAAACGAUGAUAACUGGGCGUAUGCGAUAUACAGUAUGCUCCUAAGCGAAAGCGUUAAGUUAUCCACCUGGGGAGUACGCCGGCAACGGUGAAACUCAAAGGAAUUGACGGGGGCCCGCACAAGCGGAGGAACAUGUGGUUUAAUUCGAUGAUACGCGAGGAACCUUACCCGGGAUUGAAAUGUAGAUGACAGGCGGUGAAAGCUGCUCUCCCUUCGGGGCAUCUAUGUAGGUGCUGCAUGGUUGUCGUCAGCUCGUGCCGUGAGGUGUCGGCUUAAGUGCCAUAACGAGCGCAACCCCUGUCUACGGUUGCCAUCAGGUAAUGCUGGGAACUCCGUAGAGACUGCCGUCGUAAGGCGUGAGGAAGGUGGGGAUGACGUCAAAUCAGCACGGCCCUUACAUCCGGGGCGACACACGUGUUACAAUGGUAUGGACAGAGGGCAGCCACUUGGCGACAAGGAGCAAAUCCCUAAACCGUAUCACAGUUCGGAUUGGAGUCUGCAACUCGACUCCAUGAAGCUGGAUUCG